GAUGAACGCUGGCGGCGUGCCUAAUACAUGCAAGUCGAGCGAACUGAUUAGAAGCUUGCUUCUAUGACGUUAGCGGCGGACGGGUGAGUAACACGUGGGCAACCUGCCUGUAAGACUGGGAUAACUUCGGGAAACCGAAGCAAAUACCGGAUAGGAUAAUCUCCUUCAUGGGAGAUGAUGGAAGGCUGGUUUCGGCUAUCACUUACAGAUUGGCCCGCGGUGCAUUAGCUAGUUGGUGAGGUAACGGCUCACCAAGGCAACGAUGCAUAGCCGACCUGAGAGGGUGAUCGGCCACACUGGGACUGAGACACGGCCCAGACUCCUACGGGAGGCAGCAGUAGGGAAUCUUCCGCAAUGGACGAAAGUCUGACGGAGCAACGCCGCGUGAGUGAUGAAGGCUUUCGGGUCGUAAAACUCUGUUGUUAGGGAAGAACAAGUACAAGAGUAACUGCUUGUACCUUGACGGUACCUAACCAGAAAGCCACGGCUAACUACGUGCCAGCCGCCGCAGUAAUAC
rnacentral:rRNA from 1 species